UACGUAGGUGGCAAGCGUUUGUCCGGAUUUAUUGGGUUUAAAGGGUGCGUAGGCGGCUUUGUAAGUCAGUGGUGAAAUACGGUAGCUUAACUAUCGAGGUGCCAUUGAUACUGCAGAGCUUGAGUACAGAUGAGGUAGGCGGAAAUUGACGGUGUAGCGGUGAAAUGCUUAGAUAUCGUCAAGAACACCUAUAGCGAAGGCAGCUUACUAGGCUGUAACUGACGCUGAGGCACGAAAGUGUGGGGAUCAAACAGG
rnacentral:rRNA from 1 species